AUCAAUAAGCGGAGGAAAAGAAAUCAAAUGAGAUUUCCGUAGUAGCUGCGAGUGAACUGGAAUCAAGCCUAUUGCCAAUUCUUAUGUUUCGUACAAUAAGAGAUGAGGUGUAAAGGAGUUUCGUGUUGAACGGACGCACGGCCUAAAUAUUAUCGAGUGAGUUCUCAGAGAAGGUGAAAAGCCUGUUUGGUUGUGUCUGUCCGUUGAAUCGGAAUUCUUACGAGUCUAGUUGUUUGAGAGUACAACUUAAAGCUGGUGGUAAAUUUCAUCAAAGGCUAAAUAUAUGAGGGGACUAAUAGCGAACAAGUACCAUGAGGGAAAGUUGAAAAGAACUCUGACGAGAGAGUUCAACAGUGCGUGAAACCAUAUUGAGUAAAACAGAUAACUGUGUCGUUAUGCGGUGUGUCUAUCAACAGUAUGUCGGGUGUUGCGAUGCGGCGAGUGUGAGCUGUUUAUUCAGACGAGCGCUCGCUGUUAGCAUAACUCGUUGUUCUGUGUACUAGUGCACAUCCAAUCAUUGAGAAACUAUGCUGCUGCGGCAUCGGUGCACUUCAGUCCCCGCCUAGCGGGAAGUUGUGCGCUGGGCUCUGCUAGCGGCGUAGUUUAGCUGUGUGACGGCUGUGGGAUGCGUUUGUCGAAUGUGCCUGCUUUGUCUGCGAAUUGGUUUAUUCCUUUUUGCGGUGAGUAUGGUACAGUAGGCGAGCGUCUCGCCAUCAAUGGUUGACAUU
rnacentral:rRNA from 1 species